rnacentral:lncRNA from 1 species
GUAAACUGUGUAAUGUGAAGUGCACGACCUUAAAAAUACCACACAAUACCAGUCGAGAGAAAUAUAAAUUUCAUGAGCUUCGGGGAGAAGGAACUUCAGAAGCUAUUUUUCGCUUUCUAACCUAGCAUGCUAUAUUUGUAAAGAAUAUCAAUAAUAAUGGUUUAAUAUUAAAACUAUUAGAUUCGGACCAAAAACCAGUGUUCUUUGGUUACCAAUACGUUAGAAAACAGUCGCAUUUAAUUAAAUGCACCAAAGAUAAAAAAAAAAAAAAAAAAGAAAGAAGAGGGACGAAAAAUACCAGAGAGACAGUCAAACUUAUAGAUCGAAAAUAAAGUGAUAAUGGCAUGGCUAAAAAAAAAAGACAAAAAAUAGUACACAAGACACAACAUAGAAAAAUAAAGACUAAGCAGCAUGAUAUCAAGUGCUCCGGAAGAGUAAGCAGAUCCUGCUCCAUGUGUGGCAACCGUAGUGUUGUUCCGUGGCGAAUAAAUAGGGAUUGAAUAGGCAUAUGCGUGUAUCCGUAUGCAUAUAUGCCUCGGCGGAGGAGAAAUAGGUAUGAUAAUCAUUAAAUAAAAGCUAUAAGUAAACUUGAAAAAUACACUGCUUAUCAACAAAUCAAAUCCAGUUUACUCACUACGGUAUAAGCAGUAUACAAUGCACUGCAUAAACUCAUGUACACCAGUGAAGCC